rnacentral:lncRNA from 1 species
CAAAGCAACCCAAAGGGGAUUGUGAUCCAUAUUAAUAUACAUUACACAAAUUACAAUUCAUAUAUAAACCCUUCUAGUGGAAUUUAAGGCUGGUCAAAACAUUGUUGUUGACAGGGUCAGACAAAUGAUCCAAAAGGUUUUGGUAAGGUCCAACACCAGUAACAAGACCUUGUAUAAAGUAACCCAAAAUUGCCAACAUUGCAAGCCUUCCAUUCUUAAUUUCCUUCAACUUCAAUUCCUUCAUUGACUUCUCAUCUUUCCCAAACCCUAGUGGGUUGAACAAUGGCCCGCCAGGGUAAGCUGGGUCCCCUGAUCCACCCAAGAACUUCUCCAGGCCCAAAAAGUAUUGUUUUCCCAUGGAUCCUGGCUUGGCCCAAUCUUGAAAUCUUCUGUGUUCAGCAAAGCCCAUCAGAGCCAUUUCAAAUACAAAGAGUGUGUAAGGGUCUGCCCAAUAGUUGUAGGUCCCUGCUGGUGGGAUGACCCCUGUUUUGAACCAUGGGAGGGCUGUUUCUGGUGGGAUUAACCCCAGUGAUCCAAAGAUUUCUGGGGCUAUGGCUCCUGCUGCUCCCAACAUUGCAAACCUUCCGUUGAUCACUUCGCCGUAUGCCAACCAUCUUGGCUCGAUGAACCCUCCUGUGCCUUCGGGAUCAGAUAGCCCCAGUGGGUCAAACCCGAAAUCGCCUGGCAGACUAA